CCAGCCCGCUCAGAAACUCAAAGGAAUUGACGGGGCCCGCACAAGCGGUGGAGCAUGUGGUUUAAUUCGAUGAUACGCGAGGAACCUUACCUGGGCUCAAAUGUAUGUUGACGUAUUCUGAAAGGGAUACUUCUUCGGACAAUAUACAAGGUGCUGCAUGGUUGUCGUCAGCUCGUGCCGUGAGGUGUCGGGUUAAGUCCCAUAACGAGCGCAACCCCUAUCAUUAGUUGCCAUCAGGUCAAGCUGGGGACUCUAAUGAAACUGCCUACGCAAGUAGUGAGGAAGGUGGGGAUGACGUCAAAUCAGCACGGCCCUUACGUCCAGGGCUACACACGUGCUACAAUGGCCGGUACAAAGGGCAGCUACCUGGUGACAGGAUGCUAAUCUCAAAAGCCGGUCUCAGUUCGGAUCGGAGUCUGCAACCCGACUCCGUGAAGCUGGAAUCGCUGGUAAUCGCGCAUCAGCCAUGGCGCGGUGAAUACGUUCCCGGGCCUU
rnacentral:rRNA from 1 species